GACGAACGCUGGCGGCGUGCUUAAUACAUGCAAGUCGAACGGAAAGGCCCUGCUUUUGCGGGGUGCUCGUUAGGCGCACGGGUGAGUAUCACGUGAGUAUCCUGUACCUGUCUUUGGGAUAACUCUAGGAGACUGGGGCUAUUACCGGAUAGGAGCUCCUGCUGCACGGUGGGGGAUGGUAAGUUUCGGUGGUUGGGGAUGGACUCGAGGCUUAUCCGCUUGCUGGUGAGGUAGUGACUUACAAAGGCUUUGACGGAUAGCCGGCAUGGGAGGGUGACCGGGCACAUUGGGACUGAGGUACGGCGCAGACUCCUACGGGAGGCAGAAGUGGGGAGUAUUGCGGAAUGGGCGGAAGCCUGAUGCAGCAGCGUCGCGUGCGGGAUGACGGCCUACGGGUGGUAAACCGCUUUCGCCGGAGACGAGGCGUGAGUGACGGUAAUGAAUAAGGAAGCACCGGCUAACUACGUG
rnacentral:rRNA from 1 species